UGGGGAAUAUUGGACAAUGGGCGCAAGCCUGAUCCAGCAAUGCCGCGUGUGUGAAGAAGGCCUUCGGGUUGUAAAGCACUUUUAUCAGGAGCGAAACGCUGUCGGCUAAUACCCGGCGGAACUGACGGUACCUGAGGAAUAAGCACCGGCUAACUUCGUGCCAGCAGCCGCGGUAAUACGAAGGGUGCAAGCGUUAAUCGGAAUUACUGGGCGUAAAGCGUGCGUAGGCGGUUUCUUAAGUCUGCUGUGAAAUCCCCGGGCUCAACCUGGGAAUGGCAGUAGAUACUGGGAGGCUAGAGUGUGUCAGAGGGUGGUGGAAUUCCCGGUGUAGCGGUGAAAUGCGUAGAGAUCGGGAGGAACAUCAGUGGCGAAGGCGGCCACCUGGGACAACACUGACGCUGAGGCACGAAAGCGUGGGGAGCAAACAGGAUUAGAUACCCUGGUAGUCCACGCCCUAAACGAUGCGAACUGGAUGUUGGUCUCAACUCGGAGAUCAGUGUCGAAGCUAACGCGUUAAGUUCGCCGCCUGGGGAGUACGGUCGCAAGACUGGAAACUUAAAUGAAUUGACGGGGGUCAUAGCUGUUUCCUG
rnacentral:rRNA from 1 species